rnacentral:rRNA from 1 species
GACGUAGGGGGCGAGCGUUGUCCGGAAUCACUGGGCGUAAAGGGCGUGUAGGCGGCUUUGCAAGUCAGUGGUGAAACACCUGGGCUCAACCCAGGUAUUGCCGUUGAAACUGCAUCGCUUGAGGGUAGAAGAGGAGUGUGGAAUUCCCGGUGUAGCGGUGAAAUGCGUAGAGAUCGGGAGGAACACCAGUGGCGAAGGCGGCACUCUGGUCUACCCCUGACGCUGAGGCGCGAAAGCUAGGGGAGCAAACAGGAUUAGAUACC